GCACUACUGAGGAGUCCCAUAAUAGGACGGAACGGCUGUUCAGUGU
rfam:Schistosoma mansoni strain Puerto Rico chromosome 5, complete genome